AGCCAAAAAUAAAUAGAUAAAAUAAAUUUUAAAAAAGAGAGAGAGAGAGAGGAUCCUGAUAAUGCCCUUAGGUUUCUGCAGCAUUUUCAGAUUUCUUAUUUCAGGCAUUCUGAAGAUUUAUCUGGCCUUCACAAUAACCCUGCAAAGUAGGUGGAGGAGACACUGUUAUCCCCACUUCUCAGAAUGAAAUAGAGGCCCCAAAUGGGUAUAAGACUCCCUAGGGUCACAGAGCUGAUUGGUGCCAGAGCCCCCAGCUUGCUGGACCUGUGUCUGGAUUGUUUGACAAUGGCGAUGGGCCACCAGGCCAUUGCUCGGAUGGCUUCCUUCACAGGGGCUAGUGUUGCUGAAGAUUCACCCAGAAUCUCCAUUUUUAACUUUUAUUGCCUCAUUUAUCUGCUCUGUUCGUGACCCUGGAUGCAUCUAGGCUUAGGGAUGGACUAAGCUGCAAACAUAUGUUGCAAAUGACAAGUUGCCGUCUGGGCAGUCGCUCAGCAGGGGCCCCUCCUACUUCACUGCUCCUGGCUCAUUUGCAUUUGCUUUAUCUCUCCCUGGCUCCAAACACCUCCGAGAUUUCUGCACCUGCUUUGCCUCCGCAUAUUUGGUGUUCCUUUGGAUUUAUCUCCUGGAAUUGUAGGCCUUUGCCUGCUCCUUGAACCUCAGAAACCCUCUGACUCCAGAGUCCUCAGCCCUGUUUAAGCCCAACCACUGGUCAGGCCCGCCUUGGCCCACAUAUAUCAAAGUGUUUGUGAGGUGGGUCUCAAAAAUGUUUGGGGUCAGUCUAAGCCUACUGGAUGACUUCUUAAUUCUGGGGAAAGAAAACAUGAAAUUCUUCAUGAGCUGACUGGGCUCAUGGCCCAACUGAAAGCCACAGCUCAGGCUACUGGCUCGUGCUUCCAGUUACCACUUGCUGGGGCAGAGCCAGCCCUACCCUUUUCACUUUCCUGAAGAGAUUCUUGAGUGAUUCUAGCAAAUUUGGGGCUUUUUAGUGGGAUUUCAGCCUACUUUUUAAAAAAUUCAUUUCCUACUUUGUAGGAAUGAGUCAUCAUUUCCAUACAAAUCAGCAGCCCCCGUCCCUGAACAUGAGCGUCUUGCCCCUCAGAAUGUGUCCGCUCCAUCGGGUGGAAGGCUGUCUUAAAGGUCAGAGUUAUGCCUGGUGCCACUACGAUUAGAAUGAGAUGUUUGGUACCAUAGACCUAGUUGGGGUGGUUUGGUUGUGAGCCACAAAAAUCCAUUCUUACCACAAGCGAAAGGAUAAUUUAUUGAAAGCACGUUGGGGAGCUCAGGAGAUUGAAGGAAAGUCUUAAAGAACCAGGCUAGGAACAGAUAGGCUGAGGUAGUUUUAGAUUUCAGAAGCAAGAACUGCUUCACCAUCUCACCCAGUUGCUACCACCAAAUGAACACCAGUCAUUUCUUCCAUCCUUACAUUAUUCUUAAAGUCCCGUGAGGGAGAAAGGCUACCUCGUAGUCACAGACCACCCCAUGGAUGUACCCGGGAUGGUGAGAAGACUUCAGGGAUCUCUUUAGCUUCCUUAAAGGGAAGCAAGGACACCUUGCUCUGCUGUUCCACCAAGAUAGAACACAGUAUGGGGGAAGGAAAUGCCCAAAGAGAAUCAGGAUGCUGGUAGGAAGGCAUCCUGAAUGUUAGGUGGUUAAAAAAAAAAAAAAAGUAUGCUACAGAGAAGGCCUCUGCACUGCUGCUCCCUGAAAGUUAUCAUGGGCAGCUCCACUUUCCCAAGUAGUUGAUGUGCGGGAAGUUUUAGAUAGUCCUUGAGUCCCACCACACCUCAAGAUCACCCUGAGGUGAUCUCCUGAGCAGAGUGGAGAGAGGAGCUCUUGCUACACUUCUCUGUCAGUGGGGCUGCCAGGUGAGGCUGUUGUGCUUGUGUUAAAGGAGACCAGCCACUCUGUGUUCAGAUGUCCAGACAGCCGUGCUGACUGGAGGUGCCUCAUCACACUCCACUGGGUCCCAGUCCCCAGGCUCAGUGGUGAUGUGGUCCACGUCCCUGGGAAGCCGAGGUGGUAGUGUCUUAGGAAUCCUAGAACUUGGAGCAAGUCCCCAGUUCACCAGGCCUGGUUCUUCAUCACACACCCAGACCAACUCCAUGCAUGUGGGCACUGUGUGAUUCUCUCCCAAGAGUUCUGGUCCUAUGCUAUGGUCCUACUGACUUGACUGUGGUCAGGUCACUUGUCAGGUGCUUUCUGGCACACAUUGACUGGGCUUUCCUCUUGUUCUUGGCCUUUCCUAGCUGGAGAUCAGUGACUCUGAUAUUGCCUGGGGAACCUACAUUUUGCAUUUCACUUUCAAAGACUGCUGAGAAUUCUGCUUGUAGGCCCCAAAUCUCUAGAGCACUAUUUGCCCACUUCUGGAAUUUUAAAUAAGUGUGCCACCUACCAGCAAACAUUUUCCCACAGGAAGCAGAGGAGCUGCUCUAAAAUUAGGAGUCUAACUGCUGUAGCCCUGUUGCCUAGGGCCUGCAUACCUCCAAAACAGGAGUGCUUGCUAUCUGUGCCUGAGGCUGAGGUCAUCUGUAGCCAUAUUGAUGGGAAGCAGUGUCUAGAAUUCAUCAGGACUUCUACCUCUGCCUCAGGAGAAUGGAGAGUUCAUUCCAGCCAGGUCUGCCACAGCCUUAAGACAAUCUCCUAUUCAGGACUGUUGAGCAAGUCCACCAAUCCCCCUGACCUCAAAGAUGGGCUCUGCCACGUACAGCUUUUCAGAAAGCAGGACUUCUUAGAUGGUGCAUCUGAGAGCAAGACCAGUGAAGGCAGCCUUCCAGACACUCCCAAGACAAUCCCAGUACACAGCAAUGUCAUUUGGCCUGGGCAGUGUUCCUGUUGUUCUGGAAUGGCUGAUGAAAGGGCUCCUGCAUGCCUUUCUGGAUUGCAGUGGCUUUUGUUUGGAGGGCAUCCUCUUGUACUUGCAGGGGUUGGGUUCCAUGAGCCCCUGAUCUGACAGAGGCAUACUUCAGGCUAUCUCUAGGCCAGCUGUGAGAAACAAUUUUGAAAGUCUGAAGAUAAGAUUAACAGUUCCCAUCAUCUGUCUCACCAAGGCAAACUGCUCUUUGGCAGACAAGAUAUUUCCAUCCCAGAUGUCCAGCAGAUCCUGAAGUUCACAAGGUACAGCUGGUAAUCCAUUCCCAUUUUCCACUCUGGCCACCCAAAUAGUCAAACCCAGUAACCAGUUGGAAUACAGCACCUGGGUCUCAAGAGAAGAUUUCUACUGCUAGGACCUUGUGGACAACACUAUCAACUCACCUAACUGGUCUGUGAAGAAUUUGCCUUUGACUAUUCAUUAUACCCUUUCACCUAGCACACAGUUUCAUAGCAGCUUAUCCCCAUUAUUCUUUCCCAUUAAGCCCUCCUACCUUAACAGCUGGGAAGUACCUAAAGAUACCAUAGAUUACUCAAGCAGAUCUGGAAGGUGCCUCUGCAACAUAAUGAGCAAUUUAAAUGUUGACUAGAGACAGACAUCAGAGGAGACCAACCAAUGGGUGAUACCACAGACACUCAGAUAUAUAGGCAAAUCUGCCUUUGACAAAAAGAACCUUGCUAUAAGGAAUUAUUAAGGGUCAUAAAGGCCAUUGUUGCAUUACUACCCUGGCAUUCACUUAUUGUUCUCUUCCUGCCUCUGGUUAUGCCUGAACCAGCAUUGCCCUACCUCCUCCUUCAUUGCUCUUGCCAACAUUUGCCAACCUGAAAUCAGGAACCAUCCAUGUGGGGGUGAAAAGUGACCAGCAACCCUUGAUGCCACCUUAACUCCAAUAAACCAGUACACUGGGAUGGGUAUGGGCCAACCCUGAAAAUACAUCAGCCCCAUAUUUAUCGUGAUGCUUCCUCAGAUUUUAAGCCACAUGUACCAGAUAAAUGUUUUUGUCCUUUUAUUUCUCUAUUUUAAAAGAAGAGUCUCUAUAAAAAUAAUUCCUUUUAAGUUCUUUAAUUAGAUGUAAAUUUUAUAUCCAGCCCAAGUACAUCUCUUUUUCUUUCAUUCACUCAGAAACACGGAAGUGUCACUUGCGUGGAGAGUUGGAGAGAAGCCUGCAUCUCAAGAUUACAACAGAGUGUGAUAAGCAUAAUGAUAGGGACAUGUAGAAAGGGCUGUGGGAGCAACAAAGACCUUGCCAAAGGGGCCAGAGGGCAUACAGCGAAAAGGACGUUUGAACUACAUCUUCAGAAGUCAAAAUUUAGCAACAUAUAGACUCAAAAUUCUUUCCAAAGUAGAAUGCUGGCUAAAGCUCUUUCCCAUAAUUACUCUGGUUAGAUGAUCCACCUAAGCAUGUUAUAUGGCUUCUCUGUCAUUACAUGAUUUCACUGUCUUCUCGUGUGUUGCUGCAUUGUGACUUCAUACAUUCCAAGGGCAUUCCACAUGGCAACCAAAGGGCAGGAAGUGAGGACAGGGGGCCUUGCUUAGGGCUGUAGCUGUUAUAUGGCAGCCUUCCUUGCAGUCACAUUAUCCUUGUUUCCUCCUAUAACAUGGGAGAGUCUUUCUUUUUAGGGUUCAGUGGCUCAACAGGUUUGGAAGGAUUUGGUAAAGGGAUGCUUCCUUGAGUUCUACUGCUUGGAGAAGACAGGAAAUUUAGCAAGUCAAAUGGCAAAGGUAAAACCACUGUGGAAGGCUUCUCUGUGGACAAGGAUUGCAGGGUGUGGAGGUACCGAAGCUGAACAGCAGCUGGAGUGCCCGAUAGAAUCUCGGCUGCCAUCCUCAGGGACUCGGACGCAGCCUUCUCCCCUUCCGCAGCGAUCAUCUAGACAGGGGAUGUGAAGAAAAGCAAAGUGAUUUUUCUUCUUCACUCCAUGAAGGUUUUAAUCCUACUUAGUGUGACUCAACAAACAAGCACUGGUAUCUACUGUGUGACAGCAUGAUUCAUAAUGGUCCCAAACUGGAAACAACCCAGAUGUCCAUCAACUGAUGAGCAGAUAAACAAAAUGUGGUCUAGCCAGCUGAAAAUAGAACAGUAUUCGACCAUAGAAAGGAAUGAAGUACCGAUUCAUGCUACACCAUGGUUGGAUGCUGAAAACAUUAAGGUCACUGCAUCCAAGGCAACCUGUGGAAGGAAGAGUUUAGAUGUCAGUAAGAACCUCCGGGUGGGAGGAGAGCACCCCUAUGCACCGAUGGCCGUUGCACUGAGAAAGCACAUUUCUUCUGAAAGGACAUUAUGUACUUCCCUGUUUUUUUUAACAUUAUAGGGCCUUGCAAAAGUUGUUUAAUUUGCACAGUGCCACUCAACAGAUAUUUGUGGAAUUAAAGAUGGUGUGGUAGGCUGACUAAUGGCUCCUAAAGACAUCCAUGCCCUAAUCCCUGGAAACUGUGAGUGUUACCCCGAAAGAGACUUUGCAGAUGCAAUUAAGUUCCAGGCUGUUAAAAUGGGGAGUUUAUCCUGGAUCUUGCUGGUGGGCCCUAAAAGCCACUGCAAGUGUCCUUAUAAGAGGGAAGUGGAGGGACAUCUGGCUUCAGAAGAGGAGAAGGUGGUGUGAUGAUGGAAGCAGAGGUUGGAGUGCUGUGCUUUUAAGAUGGAGGAAGGGGCCAUGAUCUAAAGAAUGCAGGUGGCCACCUGAAGCUGAAAAAGGCAAGGAAAUGAAUUCUCCUCUCAAAACCUCCAGAAGGAACCAGUCCUGCUGACUGACACCUUGACUCUGGCCCAGUAAAACUUCUUUUGGACUUCUGGCCUUCAAAACUGUAAGGUUGGGACUUCCCUGGUGGUCCAGUGGUAGUGAA